AUGGGCACCCCUUUCUCCGGCACAACAAAGCUGAAUUGGGAUUUCCUUGGUUUGCCAAGAAGGGACCUGCAACAUUUGGACGAGUCGUUCACCGAGCAGGAGCUGAAGACGACUGUUAAUGAGGUGCAUGGGGAGAAGGCACCGGGGCCAGAUGGUUUCACGGGGGCAUUUUUCAAGCGAUGCUGGUCCAUAAUCAAAGAGGAUCUGUUGGCCGCUGUAAACUCUGUGCACUCGUUGCGUGGGCAAAACUGGCAUCUGCUAAACACGGCUAACAUUGCUCUGCUACCGAAGAAGGAAGGAGCUCAACAGGCCUGCGACUUUAGACCUAUCAGCCUAAUGCAUUCGGUUCCAAAGCUUGUGAGUAAGAUGAUGGCCUCCAGAUUGGCUCUAGAAAUACAAUGGCUUGUCACGAACAAUCGAAGUGCUUUCAUAAGAGGUCGAGCUAGCCAAGACAACUUUUUAUAUGUCAAGAAUGUCAUCAAGGCGGCUCACUCUGCAAAAUUUCCCCUCGUGUUCCUGAAGCUGGAUAUAGCUAAAGCUUUUGACUCUGUGGGGUGGGGAUAUUUGCUUGAGGUCAUGGAGGCAAUGGGCUUUGGGCAGCGGUGUCGCGAUAUGGUGUCGCUCAUUUUCUCAACUUCCUCGUCAAGGGUCUUCCUCAAUGGAUCACCAGGAGUUCCUUUUCUUCACAGACGGGGGCUGCGACAGGGGGAUCCUCUAUCCCCGCUGCUCUUCAUCAUUGCAAUGGAGCCACUGCAAAGAUUACUGAGUCUGGCCACAGACAGGCGAAUUCUCUCACCUUUGAGAUCCCAUGUUGCUCGGUUCAGGUCAAGCUUUUACGCUGAUGACACUGCUCUGUUCAUCAAUCCAUCUCAGGAAGAUUUUAAUUAUGGCUGUUCAACAAAUAUUACUGCUUUUUGGUAA
rnacentral:rRNA from 1 species